GACGAACGCUGGCGGCGUGCUUAACACAUGCAAGUCGAACGGAAAGGUCCUGCUUUCGUGGGGUUCCCGAGUGGCGAACGCGUGCGUAACACGUGAGUAACCUGCCCCUGACUUUGGGAUAACUUCAGGAAACGGGGGCUAAUACCGGAUAGGAGCUCCUGCUGCAUGGUGGGGGUUGGAAAGUUUCGGCGGUGGGGGAUGUACUUGCGGUUUCUCAGCAUGUAGGUGUGGUACUGGCUUACCAAGGUUUUGACGGAUAGCCGGACUGAGAGGGUGACCCGCCACAUAGGGACAGGGAAGCGAGCAAGGCUGAAUCGGGCGGAAGCAGUGAGAAAUAGACCAAAAAAGGCGGAAGCCUUGAAGAGCAACGCCGCGUGGGAGAUGACUGUCAUAGGGUUGUAAACAGCUUUCGGCUAAGACGAAGCGUGAGUGACGGUAAUGGGUAAGGAAGCAACGGCUAACUACGUG
rnacentral:rRNA from 1 species